GGUUAAGUGACUAAGCGUACACGGUGGAUGCCUGGGCAGUCAGAGGCGAUGAAGGACGUACUAACUUGCGAUAAGCGCAGAUAAGGCAGUAAGAGCCGUUUGAGUCUGCGAUUUCCGAAUGGGGAAACCCAACUGCAUAAGCAGUUACUGUUAACUGAAUACAUAGGUUAACAGAGCAAACCGGGGGAACUGAAACAUCUAAGUACCCCGAGGAGAAGAAAUCAACCGAGAUUCCGGUAGUAGCGGCGAGCGAACCUGGAUUAGCCCUUAAGCACUCGGUGAAGUAGGUGAACAAGCUGGAAAGCUUGGCGAUACAGGGUGAUAGCCCCGUAACCGACGCUUCAUCGAGCGUGAAAUCGAGUAGGGCGGGACACGUGAUAUCCUGUCUGAAUAUGGGGGGACCAUCCUCCAAGGCUAAAUACUCCUGACUGACCGAUAGUGAACCAGUACCGUGAGGGAAAGGCGAAAAGAACCCCUGUGAGGGGAGUGAAAUAGAACCUGAAACCGUGUACGUACAAGCAGUAGGAGCACCUUCGUGGUGUGACUGCGUACCUUUUGUAUAAUGGGUCAGCGACUUAUAUUCAGUGGCAAGGUUAACCGUAUAGGGGAGCCGUAGCGAAAGCGAGUCUUAACUGGGCGCUCAGUCUCUGGAUAUAGACCCGAAACCGGGUGAUCUAGCCAUGGGCAGGUUGAAGGUUGAGUAACAUCAACUGGAGGACCGAACCGACUAAUGUUGAAAAAUUAGCGGAUGACUUGUGGCUAGGGGUGAAAGGCCAAUCAAACUCGGAGAUAGCUGGUUCUCCCCGAAAGCUAUUUAGGUAGCGCCUCGGACGAAUACUACUGGGGGUAGAGCACUGUUAAGGCUAGGGGGUCAUCCCGACUUACCAACCCUUUGCAAACUCCGAAUACCAGUAAGUACUAUCCGGGAGACACACGGCGGGUGCUAACGUCCGUCGUGGAGAGGGAAACAACCCAGACCGCCAGCUAAGGUCCCAAAGUAUUGCUAAGUGGGAAACGAUGUGGGAAGGCUCAGACAGCUAGGAUGUUGGCUUAGAAGCAGCCAUCAUUUAAAGAAAGCGUAAUAGCUCACUAGUCGAGUCGGCCUGCGCGGAAGAUGUAACGGGGCUAAGCAAUACACCGAAGCUGCGGCAAUAUCUUUUAGAUAUUGGGUAGGGGAGCGUUCUGUAAGCCGUUGAAGGUGAAUCGUAAGGUUUGCUGGAGGUAUCAGAAGUGCGAAUGCUGACAUGAGUAACGACAAAGGGGGUGAAAAACCUCCUCGCCGGAAGACCAAGGGUUCCUGUCCAACGUUAAUCGGGGCAGGGUGAGUCGACCCCUAAGGUGAGGCCGAAAGGCGUAAUCGAUGGGAAACGGGUUAAUAUUCCCGUACUUCUGACUAUUGCGAUGGGGGGACGGAGAAGGCUAGGUGGGCCAGGCGACGGUUGUCCUGGUUCAAGUGCGUAGGCUUGAGAGUUAGGUAAAUCCGGCUCUCUCUAAGGCUGAGACACGACGUCGAGCUGCUACGGCAGUGAAGUCAUUGAUGCCAUGCUUCCAGGAAAAGCCUCUAAGCUUCAGAUAGUCAGGAAUCGUACCCCAAACCGACACAGGUGGUCGGGUAGAGAAUACCAAGGCGCUUGAGAGAACUCGGGUGAAGGAACUAGGCAAAAUGGUACCGUAACUUCGGGAGAAGGUACGCUCUUGAUGGUGAAGUCCCUCGCGGAUGGAGCUGACGAGAGUCGCAGAUACCAGGUGGCUGCAACUGUUUAUUAAAAACACAGCACUGUGCAAAAUCGCAAGAUGACGUAUACGGUGUGACGCCUGCCCGGUGCCGGAAGGUUAAUUGAUGGGGUUAGCGCAAGCGAAGCUCUUGAUCGAAGCCCCGGUAAACGGCGGCCGUAACUAUAACGGUCCUAAGGUAGCGAAAUUCCUUGUCGGGUAAGUUCCGACCUGCACGAAUGGCGUAAUGAUGGCCACGCUGUCUCCACCCGAGACUCAGUGAAAUUGAAAUCGCUGUGAAGAUGCAGUGUACCCGCGGCUAGACGGAAAGACCCCGUGAACCUUUACUACAGCUUGGCACUGAACAUUGAACCUACAUGUGUAGGAUAGGUGGGAGGCUAUGAAGACGUGACGCCAGUUGCGUUGGAGCCGUCCUUGAAAUACCACCCUUGUAUGUUUGAUGUUCUAACUUAGACCCAUUAUCUGGGUUGAGGACAGUGCCUGGUGGGUAGUUUGACUGGGGCGGUCUCCUCCCAAAGAGUAACGGAGGAGCACGAAGGUGGGCUAAUCACGGUUGGACAUCGUGAGGUUAGUGCAAUGGCAUAAGCCCGCUUAACUGCGAGAAUGACGGUUCGAGCAGGUGCGAAAGCAGGUCAUAGUGAUCCGGUGGUUCUGUAUGGAAGGGCCAUCGCUCAACGGAUAAAAGGUACUCCGGGGAUAACAGGCUGAUACCGCCCAAGAGUUCAUAUCGACGGCGGUGUUUGGCACCUCGAUGUCGGCUCAUCACAUCCUGGGGCUGAAGUCGGUCCCAAGGGUAUGGCUGUUCGCCAUUUAAAGUGGUACGCGAGCUGGGUUUAGAACGUCGUGAGACAGUUCGGUCCCUAUCUGCCGUGGGCGUUGGAAGAUUGAAGGGGGCUGCUCCUAGUACGAGAGGACCGGAGUGGACGAACCUCUGGUGUUCGGGUUGUGUCGCCAGACGCAUUGCCCGGUAGCUAAGUUCGGAAUUGAUAAGCGCUGAAAGCAUCUAAGCGCGAAGCGAGCCCUGAGAUGAGUCUUCCCUGA
rnacentral:rRNA from 1 species